UUUUACCUAGUUGUGGGCCCUAGUUGUCAUCUCCUCUUCCUCCUCCCGUGCCUAUCCUCGCUCUCGAAGCCUCCCGAACCGGCCAGCUCGCUCCCAUGCCCAACUUUGCCACGGCGCCGUCCGUGCAUGACGCGCGCGACCCUCAUCUCCUCUAGGCCGUGCUGCCCCUCCUCCUUCUGCACGUGCCCAUCCCUCCUCUCCUCCUUAGACCACGCCAAUCCUUCCUGCUCGCACUUGAGCUCGCCACCGCAGCCUGCCAUGGCCACCGAGAUCUGCUCGGCGGUGAACUCCCACUUCCGGUCAUCAUCUUCGGCAACCAAAGGCUAGAAUCGACUUCCCUCGACUCGCUAAAGCUCAUGCUCUCCUCAUUUUAUCGCGUUCCACGAGGUUCCACGCUCGAUCCCGAGCCAUGCCACCGCCCGCAUGCUGUUGCUCGCCGCGAGCCGCGCGCACGAGCCUCUGUGCCGCGCCGCCGAGCGCCCACACUUCGUCCGACCCUGCUGAACUCUCCCAUGGCCGCCCUGUCGCCGGCUACUCACCGGAGCGCCGCCACACGCCGCCACCAUCGCCAUCCGAAGUACUGCUCCCGUCGCCGGCCCUCCUCCGGCCACCCCGGCAUCAACCGAGACCACCCACAGGUACGCUAGAUGUACAACGCAUGGAGGUGAAGUACAUGAUUUUGGAGCCGAGUCAGAAGACGGUGAAUGGUGGACACAUCUAGAAGAUGGAUGAAUGGAUCCCGAUGUGCAUGACCGAAGGAAGGUACUUGCCAAGCGAGUAUCAUCUAACUAAUACUGACUCAGUGUUAAUCCUAGACAAGCCCCGGUGCAUAACCCACUAUUUUAAAUUAUGAAUUAUUAUAUGUGUAUUA